rnacentral:rRNA from 1 species
SUACGUGCCAGCAGCCGCGGUAAUACGGAAGGUCCAGGCGUUAUCCGGAUUUAUUGGGUUUAAAGGGAGCGUAGGCUGGAGAUUAAGUGUGUUGUGAAAUGUAGACGCUCAACGUCUGAAUUGCAGCGCAUACUGGUUCACUUGAGUAUGCACAACGUAGGCGGAAUUCGUCGUGUAGCGGUGAAAUGCUUAGAUAUGACGAAGAACUCCGAUUGCGAAGGCAGCUUACGGGAGCACAACUGACGCUGAAGCUCGAAGGUGCGGGUAUCAAACAGGAUUAGAUACCCUGGUAGUCCGCACAGUAAACGAUGGAUGCCCGUUGUUAGUUCACUUAAGAAUUAGCGACCAAGCGAAAGCAUUAAGCAUCCCACCUGGGGAGUACGCCGGCAACGGUGAAACUCAAAGGAAUUGACGGGGGCCCGCACAAGCGGAGGAACAUGUGGUUUAAUUCGAUGAUACGCGAGGAACCUUACCCGGGCUUGAAUUGCAGACGAACGAUUCAGAGAUGA